rnacentral:rRNA from 1 species
CCUGGUUGAUCCUGGCAGUAGUCAUAUGCUUGUCUCAAAGAUUAAGCCAUGCAUGUGCAAGUAUGAACUAAUUCAGACUGUGAAACUGCGAAUGGCUCAUUAAAUCAGUUAUAGUUUUUUUUAUGGUACCUGCUACUCGGAUAGCCGUAGUAAUUCUAGAGCUAAUUUGUGCAACAUUCCCCGACUUCCAAAAGGGAUGCAUUUAUUAGAUAAAAAGCCGACGCGGGCUCGCCCCACUGUUCUGAUGAUUCAUGAUAACUCGACGGAUCGCACGGCCCUCGUGCCGACGACGCAUCAUUCAAAUUUCUGCCCUAUCAACUUUCGAUGGUAGGAUAGGGGCCUACCAUGGUGGUGAUGGGUGAUGGAGAAUUAGGGUUCGAUUCCGGAGAGGGAGCCUGAGAAACGGCUACCACAUCUAAGGAAGGCAGCAUGCGCACAAAUUACCCAAUCCUGACACGGGGAAGUUGUGACAAUAAAUAACAAUACCGGGCCAUUUGGAUCUGAUAAUUGGAAUGAGUACAUCUAAAUCCCUUAACGAGAAUCAAUUGGAGGGUAAGUCUGGUGCCAGCAGCCAUGGUAAUUCCAGCUCCAAUAGCAUAUAUUUAAGUUGUUGCAGUUAAAAAGCUCGUAGUCGGACCUUGGGCCGGGCCGGUCGGUCCGCCUCCCGGUGUGCACCGACGGUAACGUCCCCUCAGCCGACGAUGCGCUCCUGGCCUUAACUGGCCGGGUCGUACCUCCGGCACCGUUACUUUGAAGAAAUUAGAGUGCUCAAAGUAAGCCCACGCUCUGGAUACAUUAGCAUGGGAUAAAAUCAUAGGAUUCUGAUAAACGUCUAAAUAUACGUAUUUUAUACGUAUUCUUGCGCAUGCCUAUCAUAUUUUGUUGAUGAUUCGAUGCCCUUUUGUGGUCUAAAUUGUUUUAUUUUGUGUUUCAGGUACAUUAUGUGCUUUGGUGACCCUAACAUUUUAGGGCACUUUUCUUUGGGUCUUUUGGCCACCAUUUCUCCACCAUCAUCUUCCUAGGGUUCAAGGGGUUGGAGAAGGCAGAUCUGAAGGGCAAAUCAAGGGGAGAAGAGGGAUCUAUCAAGGAGCACAGCUAGGAGUUUGUUGGCGUCGAUCCGUCGGAUUCUCAUCACCACCUCCUAGUCUUCAUCUUAGGGGAAGUUUUAUGAGCUUUUUGUUGUAUUUCUUGUUUUCUAUACUCUCUCCAUUGUUGAUGAUGAACUAGACUCCCAAGGUCACUGGGCAUCCGGUGAACCUUGGGAUGAACUUGCUUGUAUGAAUACUUGAUUUACAUGUAUGGUAUUUGUGUGGUUUAUGGUUCAAGCUUGGUGCACUUUGAUGUAUUGGUAUGCAUGAGAACUCUGUGUAUCGAUUUCUAGGUUAUACUAGGUUGCGUGACCAUCGCCUUAGUAUUAGACACACCAAGUUUAGAUGGGAUACAUGUAUGAAUACGCCGUGACCAUCGGGUAUUUGUACCCCUCCAACCAUUAGGGUUGAGCCUAGAUGUUAUGUUUGACCUUAAUUCGGGAUUUCCCUAGGCGCAUUGCAAUCGUGUGAGGAUUUGGGCGGAAGCAAUUCCGUAUUCCAAUACUCAUACC